UGCGUAGGCGGGCUAAUAAGUCAGUGGUGAAAUCUCUCGGCUCAACCGGGAAACUGCCAUUGAUACUGUUAGUCUUGAGUUCGGUUGAGGUAGGCGGAAUGUGUAAUGUAGCGGUGAAAUGCUUAGAUAUUACACAGAACACCAAUUGCGUAGGCAGCUUACUAGACCGACACUGACGCUGAGGCACGAAAGCGUGGGGAGCGAACAGGAUUAGAUACCCUUGUAGUC
rnacentral:rRNA from 1 species